rnacentral:rRNA from 1 species
CAUAUCAAUAAGCGGAGGAAAAGAAACCAACUGGGAUUGCCUUAGUAACGGCGAGUGAAGCGGCAAUAGCUCAAAUUUGAAAGCUGGCCCCUUUGGGGUCCGCGUUGUAAUUUGUAGAGGAUGAUUCGGCGAGGGCUCCCGUCUAAGUCCCCUGGAACGGGGCGUCAUAGAGGGUGAGAAUCCCGUAUGUGAUGGGUUGCCUUAGCCAUGUGAAUCUCCUUCGACGAGUCGAGUUGUUUGGGAAUGCAGCUCUAAAUGGGAGGUAAAUUUCUUCUAAAGCUAAAUACCGGCCAGAGACCGAUAGCGCACAAGUAGAGUGAUCGAAAGAUGAAAAGCACUUUGGAAAGAGAGUUAAAAAGUACGUGAAAUUGUUGAAAGGGAAGCGCUUGCAGCCAGACUUGUCCGCAGUUGCUCAGCCGGUCUCCUGACCGGCGUACUCUUCUGCGGCCAGGCCAGCAUCAGUUCGGGCGGUCGGAUAAAGACCCCAGGAAUGUAGCUCCUCUCGGGGAGUGUUAUAGCCUGGGGUGGAAUGCGGCCAGCCUGGACUGAGGAUCUCGCUUCGGCUAGGAUGCUGGCGUAAUGGCUGUAAGCGGCCCGUCUUGAAACACGGACCAAGGAGUCUAACAUCUAUGCGAGUGUUUGGGUGUCAAACCCAUACGCGUAAUGAAAGUGAACGGAGGUGGGAACCCUCACGGGUGCACCAUCGACCGAUCCUGAUGUCUUCGGAUGGAUUUGAGUAAGAGCAUAGCUGUUGGGACCCGAAAGAUGGUGAACUAUGCCUGAAUAGGGUGAAGCCAGAGGAAACUCUGGUGGAGGCUCGCAGCGGUUCUGACGUGCAAAUCGAUCGUCAAAUUUGGGUAUAGGGGCGAAAGACUAAU